GAGGCGGCAUCCCAGUGCGGGACCGCGCCCUCGCCUCUGCUUUGCCUUCCGGGCAGUGAGGGACGAUCCACGCUAGGCCCCUCCCGCGGCCGAGCGUGCAAACCAGUCGUGUGGGUGGAACUGUGUGGUUUUAAGCGCGGGGCCCUGCGCGGCCGGUAACCACAACCCCUGCAGUGACCGGGGAUACCGAGUAUAAAGGCCUGAUGCCGUGUGAGCGGUGACAAAAUGGCCCCCGCAGCCGCUCUGUGACAGACACACUGUGCGUGUCAGCCGGUGGCGCUGGCUGCCCUGGCGACAUCACAGCUCCCAUGGUGAGCGUGGGGCAGCAGUGAGCUUGCACAGCUCCUUUUGAUACAGCUCCGAACUGGCAGCAAGUGGCUUUGCUGUUUCCCAGUCGUCCUAAACAAAUAAGUGUGCUGUGAUUUGUAUCCUGUAUCAAAGUCCUGUGCCUGUUUUUGGUAACUGCUGGGCAGGUGCUGCUGGCCUCUGUCGCAGUGAGGUGCAGGGUCCCCCAGCCUGCUGAUCUGCCAGGGCUGUGCUUACCAAAGCAGAAUUAUGGGGAAGAUUGCUGUAGUUCCAGUGGAGUGUGUGCUCACAGCACCCUAUGAACAAAGCUUUUAGAGGCAAUAACUCCAGAGCAGGUUAAAUGUUCUGCUAUUACAGAAUUGGAAUAAUUUACUUGCAAUGACUGGAUCUACAAAUAGUUAUGCCUGGAGAUCCAGUGACAGCUGAAGAGUACCUGACACAAGCUGGCAGGUGGUACAGUGUAAGAUUUGCAUAAAGCUGAUUUCUCCAUUUCUCCCAUCUUCAUCUGCUGACAUUCAGAUGCUGAGUCAAGAUGCUCUAAAUACCUUAAAGCUGUUACAAAACCAGAGAGAAGAUAAACUUCAGGAGGAAUUUCAAAACGAAAAAAAAAUUCAAGUGGUGUUUGAGGGCCUAUUAUAGUUAAGAGCAAUCGUAAAUCUUGGCAUCAGUCUCACAGCAGAAUAAAAAGUCAGAUCAGCAGGAAGCUUCCACAUAAGAGCAACAGGCAGCCCCAGGAGAAGGAAAAGAAAUACAAGAAAAAAAUCUUUUCAAACUCUUCCAUUUAUUUUCUUUCAAAAAUCAAAGGGUUCUACUCAUUAGAAACCCUCAGGUUUUCUUGUAUUUUUAAAGAUAAUAUGCCUUCAAAGAAUGACAACUCAUUAUUCAGCCAGCCUUUCAAAGUCUUUUAUUUCAAAGCUUCUUUCUGAAUAAACAAAUCUAUAAAGAGAACAAAUGGAAGUUUCUGCUUUUCCUAUGUUUUACAUAGAGGCUACACAAGCUGUCUUCUCUCAAAAUGAGUCAGACCUGAAAUUACAAAGUAACCAAAAUUGUUGGAUGUAGCUGGUGGAAUUAAUUUAAUGUAUUCUAUCUACAGAUUGGCUCUAAAGCCACAAAAAUAUUUUUAAUUGAAAUUCAAAAUUUUAGAUCAAAACCCCAAGGUAUUUUUUAUUAUGGUUAUUGUUUGCUUAGGGAUGUUUAAAUGUUUAGAGAUAGGCAAAGGAACACUAAGUAUAAUAAAAAUUACUAUCAUAAACAUGGUGACAACAUAAUAAAACUGGCAGUAGGGUUUGCAAUAUAAUUUAAAUUUGUACUUAUUGGGCUGAUGUACAAAAUUUGUACUUACUGGGCUGAUGUCUUUGUAAGCAUUUAUUACAUUCCACAAGAGCUUACUUCAGAUUGAAUCAGUCCUUUAAGGCAUGAGGAGGAGCUGUCCUACUAAGACUGAAGUGAACUACCCUCCCCAGGAUGAGAGAUUGAUUAGGUUUUAAACCAGAAAAAAAUAUACUGAGAAAUAUAAAGAUUUUUUUGCUAGAGCAGAGAUUCAGGGAAUACAAAGAUAGGAGUAAAAUGUUCACAGAAGAACAGGAGAAAGGCGUUUGGAAUAAGAAGGAAAUGUUAAUUAGUGAAUGGAGCACAUGUACCUCAGUGGCUUGGAAAGCAUAAUGUUAGAAAGUGAAAAAUAAUACAGGUUGUAGGAAAAUGUGCAGAAAUGUCUGAACUCUCACAGGAUUGUAGUUACCUCUUCACUUAGGAAGACCAAGGCAUUGCUGUGACGAGCUCAAACCGUGUGUAGAUUCCUUGAUAGAGUUUCCUAUAGUUAGUACCUGAAUAACCAUUGAAAAUAAGAAAAGAGGUUCAAACAGAGUACACAAGACUCCAUGAUGGCUGAUGUAGGCUUACAAAGGAAGAAAUCAAAAGAAGCACUCCAUGUGAUUCUGUGCCAGAAUAUUUGACUUCAUAUUGAAAGCAGGUACAAAUGGAGUACAAGUGCAGUCAGAGACUGGAGUAACAGUGAACUUUCCUGUCCCUGAAGUCAGCUAAAAACUCUGGAAGCAAUUCUUACUUAAAGAUACCUUUUUUUCAAAGUGAGGUAACUCUGUGGAGGGGUUUUGAACAACUAUUGUAUGUGGGAAUUGCUGACUGCAUGUAUUGCCUGUGAAUUUUCUUGCAUUUAUUUGAGCAGAGGAGAGCAGUGCUUAGGUCUAUAUGCAAACUUGUUUACUCAAAUAGUGCUUGUGCUUAUACAGUUGCUUGUCUCAUGGAUAAAUUCUUCCCAGGCUUUUGCAGUGCCAUCAUUAGGUUUCUGCUUCUUGGUAGCAGAGAAGAGUUCAUCCAAAUCCAUGUAUAACAAAUCGUGCCUUCUUUUCAGAGCUGCAGUCUUUUUUCCCAGCUGCAUAAUUGUCAGUACAGACCAAAGAGCUAGGAAAACUUCUACUGCAGCAUUUUGAGAUCUGCCACAGUUGUGUUUUGCUAGGCUCUUGUAACUUCUGCUUACAGUAUGGAAUAAAGUGAGGACAAGAUUUAUCCGAUUUAUCUGAUUUCAGAUUUAUCGCUGCAGAUUUUUAAAAAAGCAUACUUUUCUACAUGGAAAUGCAUGUUUCGUACUGCUGCUCUUGUUAGGAAUGGAGACCUGUGAAAUGAUGGCAUCAUUCAGUAGAAUUGGAAAUGCAGAAGAAAAAGGUGCUUUAUUGUUGUUGAGUAACUGUCUGGCAAAUAUCUUUGUUCACUCCAUGCACCUCAUCCAUUGUUUAUCUGUUAUAACUAAAAUAUAAUUUUAAGGCUUUUAAAGCAAAGUACUUCCAUAAAAUAACAUGAAGAGAACAAGUAGUUAUAAAUGGGGAAGCCGCUGUUUGUCUACAGCAAAUACUUCAUGAAGACUGAUCUACCCAGUUCACAGUACAGGCUGAACAUGCAAGGUUGCUGGCAGGAUGCAAUGAGGAAUGGCUGGCAGCAGGGCAGGCACCAAUUGCAGGAAAGGGCAAGCAGGUUCAGCUGCUGAAGCAGGUUGACAGUUAUGCUGGAAAGUCAAUCCACAGGUCAUGCCAGUAUCCACAGUAGGUCAGGUCCAGCCAGUAUCCACACCUGUAGGUCAGGUCCAACCUGACCUACUGAGGUCGGAGUCCUGUGGUCACUAGGCAGGUGCAGGGAGAUGGGACCAGGCAGAAAUCAGACCAGGAAAUCAGGUCCAAGGGAUGCAGGCAAGCACUGGAACACCCAGAUGGAGCAGGAUUAAAGGCCCUGGACUCAUGAGCAGGAGUGUGGGGGUUGAGGCUCCCAGGUGAGGCUGGUAAGGCCCACUAAGACUUAUUGUAUUCAGGGUCGUUAUUAUCCAUUGUCAGGCUUGCAUUGAAACAAAUUAAAAUAAUAACAGAGGCUGUGCCUUACUGAACUUUGGUUCAAAUUCCUCAUUACAAAUGCAGUAAUCACAGCAAUGAACAGUCAUGUAAAUUUUCUUGUACUUUUAAUCUCCGUCUCUACAACCGAUCAGAAACAGGAACCAGACAAUAUUAGUGCUCCCUUUGCCACAGUAAUAUAUGAGCUAUUCCUUAACUGCAACAGCAAUUAUGUUUUUAACAAAAAUGUCAAGCAUUCAAGCUGCAUUGCUAGGGUAUUUUAAACUAGUAUUUCUUCUAGGUCUAGUAGUCAUAACAAUAAUGAGAGCAAUGUCCUGGAGAAUCAGAAUUACACGAAUUUUGCCACUUUAUUGACCUAAACACGAAUAGCAAGCUUUGUGAAAAACCACAGUGCCUUGUCCACAUCAGUACUAGUUAGCCAUAGGAGACACAAUAACUUCCAGUGUGGACUGAGAGAAUGGGUCAGCAAGUAAGAUCAAGCAAUAGCACUAGCAUACCAUGUAAAAAUAGCUUUAGUAGCACUGAAACUAAUCUGUUCAGUGGAAUCGAUCAGAAAACAUCAUCAGGAAACAAGCUGGUAUCCACAGAGAGAUUAAAUUAAGAACAGAAGCUGUUAGCAUGUAUCUGAUGGCAGCAUGUACUUUUUUGUUAUUUGAAAUUGGCGCUCAUGUUUACUUUUUCAGGAUCAGUUUUUUUUUUUCUUUAGACUUCAAGGUAAAAUGGUAAAAGUACUGGAAGUUCCUGUUCUUUUCCUAUUUCUUGCUACUUUCAGAUCUUGUAUAUGAGCUUAUCCCUAAACUUUCAUGCUUUUCUGAUCUUGUUAUUGUGUCUUUUAACUAAGCUUGGAUUUGCACAAAAGUUACAAACAGAAGUUUAAGAGCUCGGAGGUGGAACACAAUAAAGAACAAUUUCCAGCACCAGAGGUGAAGAAAUACUGUAUUCUGAGUGGGCCCUUGAAAAGAGAAGUGAAUACAUAAACUCUGACAUGACUGUGUGUUUUUUGACUACUAACCUUGUGCUUUUCCUUUUGAGGCAGGUGACUCAUCAUGCUGUAUCACCUAAAAGUAAGGCAGUCUAGCAUCUGCCAAAGGCCGUUUUGGUAGUGCUUGCCACCUAGUGGAUUACUGCUUAUAUACACAUAUGAGCAGGAUCAUCUGCCACAAAAAUAAACCAUCGCACUAUUAAUCAGACUAAUAUUUGGUUACAUCCUGCAGAAUUUGAGUACUACUUAAUGGAUUUUUAAAUUUUGUUGGAAUUAAAAGCCUGUGAAAAUUGAACUACAAAUUGCAAACAUUUUCAAAACUUUUAUAUGACAACUGUAUUUGCAACUGUGACAUGACUUGGUGACCAGAAAAAUAUGAAAUUUGAGAGCCAGUAGUAAGUGAGUAGUCAGUGUAAGUGGCCAUGGACUCAGCUGUAAACUCAAGCCCCAUGCUAACAUUUGUUGGCUGAGGCUCUGAUGAGUGCAUUUGGUGAACAUAACUGAGCUUGUUGAAAUCUAUACCCAUUGUUUCUGCUUCUUCUGUAAGAGUUUUCUGGAGCCCUGUCAUUUUUUUAGGUUUCUGGUUUGUAUAUAAUAGUAACUCAACAUUACCUCUUCUCUUCUCUUAGCUGAAUUGCCUGGAAUAGUUGUUAUCCAUUUUGUUGACCUGGACUUGAAUUUCUACCUGACUAAUAGUUUACCCCUCAUUACUGCCCACUAGUCUUACAGAGAUCACAAGUGUUGCUCAUACAUAACACAAUGCAAAGAUCUGUAUUGUAAGUUACAAGGGUUCCAUCGACUACUUAAAAAAAACCAGUUUUUCCACACAAAUGACUCCUGUAAAAAUUUGAGUCCCCUCUUUCAAUUUUAAAUGCAAUUGAGCUUUUACUGCAUUUUUUAUUAAUCACCAUAUUUUAAAAACAUGGACUGUUUAACCAGAAUUUUCCCCAACACAUCCAGCCCACAGGCAACAGUUAAGGGAAGUUCUCAGCAACAGGGAAUUGUCAGGUUUGAAUACAACAGGUUUUCUGCGACGUUGAUGUUUGUAAUAGUAUUUUUUAUUAUUCCAUGAUGAUGAAAAUGUUGGAAAAUUUUAGCCAACAGCUUAUGGUAUUCACAAAUCAUUUAUGCUCUACACUUUCAGGAUAAUUUCCAAUUAAACUUAUUAAAUUCAAGAAUACCUUAAUUCUUAGUUGUUACCAAUACGUUCAUACAGAUGAUUUUACUUUUAUAGCAUUUUAUGAUCAUUAACCUAUUUAUGACUAACUUGAUAUGCGGAUGUUGAAUUGGGUAAGAUUCCAUGGGGUCUGUGCUUAGUGUGGCUGUUACUUAUCUAAGGGUAUUUCAGUCUUACAGUGCAUAAUGCAUACCAUUAUGUAUCAGAAUUCUUGAUCUUCCCAUAUUUGCGAUCGCAUUCUCAUGAUAAGAUAGUUUUGGUUUGUUUUUUACUUCCCUCUAACUGCUGUGAGGAACUUCUGUUACGAUCAGAAGAUGAAAUACGAAUUGUUUAUACAGUGAAUUUUUUCACUUUCUGUUAAAUACUAUGUUCCUAAGACUACAGAGUACAUAAAUUUCUUCAUAAAGAUCAUCAUAAAUAGUUGAAAUUAAGACAUGUGUAAGAAACUUUGUACAACUCUCCUCCUGUUUUUAAAAAGUAAUUUACAAAUAAUUUGAUCUUUAUCCAAAUUUAGAAAGUUAUAUGACCAUAAUAAAAAUCUGUACUCAGUACUCAAUAUAGUACCAUAAUAAAAAUCUGUACUCUGUACUCAAUAUAGUACCGCAAUAAAAAUCUGUACUCAGUAGUAUCACAAGCUCAAAAAAUCACUUUUAUUAGUACAUAAAAAAAAGAAUAACAAAAAGAGACAUUAUAAUUAAAUAUUUGCUCUCAUCUACAAAUAAGCACUUUGGAUAAUAAAAUAAAUUUUUAGGUUCUUGUGAACAGUUAGAAACAGAGGAAGGAAUUUUCUGAAAUAAAAGCAAUAGAAAGAGACUUCUGAAAUAGAAAAUAUUUGGCAAUAUCUCUUAGUCACUCAAUAAAAUAUCCAUGUAAACAAGUAAUACAUAUUUACAUUAUCAUAUGCAAUAUCCUUGGUUACAUGUAGUAAGAAGUACACAUGUAAUUACAUUCAAUUUAUAAUCUAAUUUGCACCAUCAUUUCUCAGUUCCUUAAUGUUGGAAAAAACACUCUUCUGCUUCUGUGUAUAGUACUGCAUGACAGCAUGUAAAUAUAGUAUUUUUUUCCCAGGCAUCUUAAGAUAGCCCUUGUUUGUUAGGUUUUGUAAGUUCCUGGUUUUUAUAGGAAUCCAAACCUGGAAUGUAAGCCCUACAGUCAUGUUCCUGUAAAAACAACGAUGUAUAUGAUUUCCAAAGAUGCCUAAAAAUACCCAUGAAAAAGCUAGAGUUCUACCUUCCAUUUGUAUCUCUGAAAAUAUACUUUUUUCAUUUCCUAUGUUACUACUGUAUUUAUGUUACUCAUAAAUACAGGUAAGAAAAUUUGCAUAAAAGGAAAGUUAAUGGAAGGCUACUUUGAGGAGCAUGUUUAGACUCUACAAAUACCUAUUAAUUUUUAUUUAGCGUUGAACUAACCUCAUUUUUUUUUGCAAGGAUACAUAGAGGCCUUUUUAAUCAAUUUAAAAUUAAGCCAAAAGUCUAUAGUAUGUUUUAUCAGUUUUAAAUUGCACACACCAAGGUCGAUCAAGGUUUAGGAGAUCACAGCUACUGUAUCUUAUGGGGACCUUCCAAAGAUCAGAAGCCAGAAUCCCACAGUUCAUGCACGUGAGAUAUCAAUUAGCACUGAUUAACAAUUCCCCAGACGGAAUCUUCCAGCUUCCGCUGAGUUUCUACUAUCAUAUUUAACCUCUAAGUUGAAAACCAAAA